ensembl:lincRNA
CUACACCUACAGAGUUGUAUCACAUCAAGCGGCAACACUGGAAUCCACUUAGAAAUCAGCAGUAACAGUUACCUUCCAAGAAGGGACUUCCCUUGGCUAAAUGCAAAAGAACAGAAUACGGCAGAAGAAGCCUUGACACAGUUUUCCUUUGCAGAUUAUGUCCACUCAGCAGCUUCUGCUGGGCCUCUUUGAGCCUCCUUCCCAUCACGUGAGUGGCAGGCCCAGUGGCAGCUGCAGAAACAAAGGUAAAAGGCGCCCUGGAGCUGGCUGGUGUGUGAAGAGCAGAGGCUCAGACACCACCGCCUGUGAGGACUUCUUGUGGUUGCCGCAGAAUGCGAUUUCGGGGCUCAAGGAGGGAUUUCUGUCACGUUCGUCACACACAGACUUCAUCAGUGAGAAAUUCUGCUCGGCAGAUGAACACAGACAGAUGCACGCUUCCUUCACCAAUGAAAUAUUAAACAUGACAGGUGUGCUACCCAUCAAGAAACGGCUGCAUGCAGAAUGUGUGCAUAGCACACAGAGUCCUCCCGACUCUGCCCCUCCCGCUGUGGAGAGGCUGGGAGAUGCUAUUCCUUCUGCAACUGUGCAGGUAUUCAAUCCCAAGAGCGAGGGCCAACCGUAUCCUUGGGAAGACAGUUUAAAGGCUUUUGGCUUUAAAUUAAGAAUCCAUUAAGAUAAUAAAAUGUUUUCUUCGACUUUAUUGUUAUUCUGCCUAAGGGAUCUGUGGGGGAACACAGGAUAAAAACUGUGGAGAGAAGGAUUCCCGUCACUAUGGAAACAGAUUCAUUUAUUUUUAUGGGCUGAUUUCUAAUUCCUCUCCCUGGGCAGGCUCCCACCAACUUCUGAUGGCGAGGAGAUUAUGCUACUCAAAGGAUAUUUUCCUGCUUGGGGUACAUCUCCUGCUUAUUUGGAGAGGAGGGUGGUAGGGAAGGAGGGCUCAGUAAGAAGCCAAGAUGCAUAAGAAUAUCUUUCUAAUGGUUUGACUACCACAGGAGCAGCUCAGUGAAUGAAGCCAGGAGGCCAUGUUCAGAAUUAAAACCGAUAUAGGAAAAUUCAGUUCUAUAAUAGUUACUAAAGGAGGGCAUGGUGGUGCACACCUGUAAUCCCAAUAGUAUGGGAGGCUGAGGCAGGAGGAUCUCAAAUUCAAG